rnacentral:rRNA from 1 species
CGUAUCCUACGGGGGGCAGCAGUGGGGAAUAUUGCACAAUGGGGGAAACCCUGAUGCAGCGACGCCGCGUGAAGGAAGAAGUAUUUCGGUAUGUAAACUUCUAUCAGCAGGGAAGAAAAUGACGGUACCUGACUAAGAAGCCCCGGCUAACUACGUGCCAGCAGCCGCGGUAAUACGUAGGGGGCAAGCGUUAUCCGGAUUUACUGGGUGUAAAGGGAGCGUAGACGGAAUUGCAAGUCUGAUGUGAAAAUCCGGGGCCCAACCCCGGAAGUGCAUUGGAAACUGUAUUUCUAGAGUGUCGGAGA